GGUGCAUGGUUGUCGUCAGCUCGUGUCGUGAGAUGUUGGGUUAAGUCCCGCAACGAGCGCAACCCUCGUUCUGUGUUGCCAGCAUUUAGUUGGGGACUCACAGGAGACUGCCGGGGUUAACUCGGAGGAAGGUGGGGAUGACGUCAAAUCAUCAUGCCCUUAUGUCUUGGGCUGCACGCAUGCUACAAUGGCUGGUACAAACGGCUGCAAUACCGCAAGGUGGAGCGAAUCCGAGAAAGCCAGUCUCAGUUCGGAUUGGGGUCUGCAACUCGACCCCAUGAAGUCGGAGUUGCUAGUAAUCGUAGAUCAGCAACGCUACGGUGAUACGUUCCCGGGGCUUGUACACACCGCCCGUCACGUCACGAAAGUCGGUAACACCCGAAGUCAGUGGCCCAACCGCAAGGAGGGAGCUGCCGAAGGU
rnacentral:rRNA from 1 species